rnacentral:rRNA from 1 species
UACAGAGACUGCAAGCGUUAUUCGGAUUCACUGGGCGUAAAGGGUGCGCAGGUGGCCAAGUGUGUUAGGCGUGAAAGCCCGGGGCUUAACCCCGGAAUUGCACCUAAAACUACUUGGCUAGAGCAUUGGAGAGGGGAGCAGAAUUCACGGUGUAGCAGUGAAAUGCGUAGAUAUCGUGAGGAAUACCAGAGGCGAAGGCGGCUCCCUGGACAAUUGCUGACACUCAGGCACGAAAGCGUGGGGAGCAAAA